UAUACAGACCAGGAGAAGGGAAUUAGAAGCAGCUAUCAGGGAGAAGGUAAGCCUCUAUUGAUAUCUCAAGUCUUGGAGGAUGCAAAGUCAACCAAGUGAAGGAGGGGCAGAGUGAAAAAUGUGCAAAGGCUAUAGGUGGAAGGAGCAUGUGAACUUAAAGCAAUGUGACUGCAGAACCAGAAAACUGAGUCUAAGUAGGAAAUGCAGGGAAAUGGGGUGACGGACAAUCUGGGGCCAGACUGUCAAAGACCUUUUCAGUCUGAGGAAAGGGGGUCCAAUUCUUAGGGCAAUGGGAGUACAAUGAAGCCUUUUAAACCAAGGAGAAACAAUGUCUGAAUUUUUUUUUAAAUCUAAAGACAUUUUACUAAGACUUUGGUAUAGAAAUGAAGGGACUAAGGGGGUGACAAUAUAGAGGAGAGGCCAGUGUUCAAGACACUCUGGAAGUCACCUAGGAAAGAGGUGGUGCCCUGACUAAGCUACUAACAGGGGUCAGAGAGAAGGGUAUAGUAUCAGAAAGAAUUAAAAGCUAGAUCUGAUAAAGCUUGGUGUGAGAGAGUGUUUAAGAAGACACCCAAGUUUCAGACUAACUGGGUGGGUGCUGAUGUCAUUUAGUGCAAUAUUCAAUACAGAGGAGGAUUGGGUUUGGAAGAGGGGUGAUGACUUCAGCUUUGGACUUGUUAACUUUCUGUGGCUGUAAGCCAGACUAGUGAAGAUACUGGAACUGGGACUUAGGGGAGAGAUCAGGGCAAGAGGCAGGAGUUUAGAACAUUGGGACUGUGAUAGAAGCCAUGGUAGCGAUGAGAUCACACAGAAAGAGUGCAUACAGUAAGAAGAACAGAAGGCCUAGGAGGAAUUCCUGGGGAGAGAUGGACAGAGUAGGGAAACCAUGAGGAAAGGAAAGGACACCCAGGAGGAGGAGGAGGACCAAGAAAGAGUGACAUAACAGUCAUUGUCAGGGAUGGCACAUGGACUAUCUCCUAUAACGCUUCCAACAGCUUUAUCUGACCAGGGACCCAGACAAAAGUGUUCUGGGUCACACUUGGAGGAAGGCUGCCGCGCUGGGUUCCUGUCUGUGAGGCUUGCAUGAAUAGGACCGCAAUGAACACAGAAAGGUGAGAAAACUGAGGGUUAAGACGGUUCCAUAAUUUGCCCAUGGUCACAGAGAUAGGAGGGGGUCAGGCUGCGGCUUGAAUCCAGAUUAUAUAGCUCUACAACCCACACGAGUAAUUGUUUCUCUGCAUUGCUUCUAGGAAGGACCAGACGGAGGCUUGUUGCCAGCUCCGGGUAAAACAUCGUCUCUAGCCCAGGCAGACAAGGUCGCUGGACAUUGUCUGAAUUCUAACUGCUGAGAAGGAAGUAGAAGGAGGGGAAGCCCAAGGGGACACUGAAGGCUGUCCUUGUGAUUAAAAUGAACCCAUGAAUGGCCCCAUUUUGGGGCUCAGCCCUGCACCAGCCACUUUCAUAUGCCAUGCCCCUUACUCCAAACUUCUGGACUUGAUGCUAUUUUUCCAUGUUAUACAUCAGGAAAAUGAGAAGUAAGAAGUUAAAGCAAUUAAUGUGGUGGCCUAGGCUAUGGUUCAGAUCUACUGAAAAUCCAAGCUUUCGACAUGAGAUACAAAAAGGUGCCCUUCCACUCUGGGCCCCACGCUACUGAAGGCAAUACAUACCGGUGAGAGCCUAGAGGCACAAGAGAUACUUUACUAGUAAAGUGCUUCCUGAGCUAGACACGCUUAUUUGGCUGAAGUCUUUUCUUAUGAAAACGAAGAGCCAGCCUGAAGACAGAGCCCUGCCCACUUGAGAAAUAACCAGGGGAGAGACUGUGCCCCUCCAACACAUCCUGCCCAGGGCCUGUGGAUGGCCUGCUCUUGGAAUGAAGAUGGACACGAUGGAAUUUCAAAGUGAAUAAAAACAUUAAAAUGUGA